AGGAACGUGGCUAAACCUGGAGAGGAAGACACAGAAAAGCAACUGCUCUAUCAUUGGCUGACAAGAUCCUGACAACAACACAAUGAGAGCUGCACUCCUUGCAAGUCUUUACCAUAGCUGUUGCUUCUGUUCUCUGGAAAUUCUUUAAACCUAGAAUCAGAUACAAAAACUGAACUCUGGGUCCAUAAUCCUCAUUUGUUCUUGAAGUAUGAGGCUGGUGGCAAGAGUAACUGUGUUUCUGACCUUUGGGACUAUAAUUGAUGCUAAGACCACUCAGCCCACCUCCAUGGAUUGCGCUGAAGGAAGAGCUGCAAACUUGCCUUGUAAUCACUCUACCAUCAGUGGAAGUGAGUACAUACAUUGGUAUCGACAGAUUCACUCCCAGGGGCCACAGUAUGUCAUUCAUGGUCUAAAAAACAAUGAGACCAAUGCAAUGGCCUCUCUGAUCAUCACAGAAGACAGAAAGUCCAGCACCUUGAUUCUGCCCCACGCGACGCUGAGAGACACUGCUGUAUACUAUUGCAUCGUGAGAGUCGCACAUUGGGACAGAUGGGGCUGCACCUGUGCAAUAUCUCCCUGGUGGCAAGUGAGGAGGAGGGUAGCAUUCAUCUAGAGCAAAAUGUCGAUAGGAGUCAAAAAGUAACAAGAAAAGAGGAAAAGGAAGGGAAGGAGAGAAGCAAAGUAAAUAAGGGAGAUAGGAUGAAGGGUAAAAAGAUAGGAAUAAGAACUAUAUUUGCUGAUGUGGCUGAGAAAUAUGAUAAAGGGGCUAUAAUUUGAACAUAGCAAUAAAGUGAGUCAUAAUUUGAACAUAGCAAUAAAAUGAAGAGGGUUAAGAAUUUUCACGACUCCUCUUCAUGUCAAAAAAAUGUUCAUUUCAGUUUGUUAGUAAAAGUGAACGGAUAAGGAAAAUCAAGA